GGCAGAAAGUGGAAAAGAAAUAUUGAAACAUAGAAUGUCUAAAUUCCACCGGGCUCCUGGCUUUCCUGUAGCAAGGAAGAGUUGGACAUCUCUGACUGACUACAACUUUGUCUGAAUUCCAGCUCCAAUAGUCACCCCUGUGCUCUGCUAGCAAGCUGUGCUGAACCAGGUGUUUCUGCUAAGGACCAGGGACCAGCUGACCUUCUCUCAUAAAAGGGGAGAGGAGACCAGACCAUCUCCACUGAGAAGGCAAGCAGGAGUGGAGCAGCUUUAGGUGACAGCAGACUCCUCUUUAGCCUUGAAAUGAGCAUCUCCUGGCUGGGCUCAGAAGAGCUGGUUGUCAAUGGGAAGCCUGCGCAACAGGAAGGAGAAUGACUGGAAAGACCUAGUAAUCUCUCCUGCAACCCCAGUGAUGCAGUGAAAGGAGCCUCCAUUGUUUUGCCUUCAGCAAAGUUUGCUGGGAAAGCAGCUAUCCUGUGAUAGACAAAAUAAGUACAGCCUUCUAAGAGGAAAGGAUACGAACAGGUUUGCACUGCCAUCUUCAGCCCUAGGAAAAAAUGGAGUCUUUCACGCAGCAGGCAGAACAUGUGGCUAAACAGGGAUUCCCACAGCCUGCUAGAGCA